rnacentral:rRNA from 1 species
AGAGUUUGAUCCUGGCUCAGGAUGAAUGCUAGCGACAGGCUUAACACAUGCAAGUCGAGGGGCAGCGGGGGAGUGGCAACACUUCCGCCGGCGACCGGCGCACGGGUGAGUAACACGUAUGAAACCUGCCCGCAGCAGGGGGAUAAGCGGAAGAAAUUCCGUCUAAUACCGCGUAACAACCGACGGGGGCAUCCCUGUUGGUUCAAAGGAGCGAUCCGGCUGCGGAUGGUCAUGCGGCGCAUUAGCUAGUUGGCGGGGCAACGGCCCACUAAGGCGACGAUGCGUAGGGGUUCUGAGAGGAAGGUCCCCCACACUGGUACUGAGACACGGACCAGACUCCUACGGGAGGCAGCAGUGAGGAAUAUUGGUCAAUGGCCGAGAGGCUGAACCAGCCAAGUCGCGUGAGGGAUGACGGCCCUACGGGUUGUAAACCUCUUUUGCCGGGGAGCAAAGAGCGGGACGCGUCCCGCCUCGAGAGUACCCGGAGAAAAAGCAUCGGCUAACUCCGUGCCAGCAGCCGCGGUAAUACGGAGGAUGCGAGCGUUAUCCGGAUUUAUUGGGUUUAAAGGGUGCGCAGGCGGAAGCGCAAGUCAGCGGUAAAAUUGAGAGGCUCAACCUCUUCCCGCCGUUGAAACUGCGUUUCUUGAGUGGGCGAGGAGUACGCGGAAUGCGUGGUGUAGCGGUGAAAUGCAUAGAUAUCACGCAGAACUCCGAUCGCCAAGGCAGCGUACCGGCGCCCAACUGACGCUCAUGCACGAAAGAGUGGGUAUCGAACAGGAUUAGAUACCCUGGUAGUCCACGCAGUAAACGAUGAAUACUCGCUGUCCGGGGAGAUUGGUCUCUGGGCGGCCAAGCGAAAGCGUUAAGUAUUCCACCUGGGGGAGUACGCCGGCAACGGUGAAACUCAAAGGAAUUGACGGGGGCCCGCACAAGCGGUGGAGUAUGUGGUUUAAUUCGAAGCAACGCGAAGAACCUUACCAGGCCUUGACAUGGGAUGCGAAGAUGCAGAGAUGCAUCGGAGGUCAACAUCCACACAGGUGGUGCAUGGUUGUCGUCAGCUCGUGUCGUGAGAUGUUGGGUCAAGUCCCGCAACGAGCGCAACCCUUGUGGCAUGUUGCUAACAGGGAAAGCUGAGGACUCAUGCCAGACUGCCGGUGACAAACCGGAGGAAGGCGGGGAUGACGUCAAAUCAUCAUGCCCCUUAUGGCCUGGGCUACACACGUACUACUAUGGCGGCUACAAAGAGCAGCGAGACAGGGAUGUCGAGCGAACCUCAUAAAAGCCGUCCCAGUUCGGAUUGGAGGCUGCAACCCGCCUCCAUGAAGUUGGAAUCGCUAGUAAUCGCGGAUCAGCAUGCCGCGGUGAAUACGUUCCCGGGCCUUGCACUCAAAGCCCGUCAAG